rnacentral:rRNA from 1 species
AUUGAACGCUGGCGGAAUGCUUUACACAUGCAAGUCGAACGGCAGCACGGACUUCGGUCUGGUGGCGAGUGGCGAACGGGUGAGUAAUGUAUCGGAACGUGCCCAGUCGUGGGGGAUAACGUAGUGAAAAUUACGCUAAUCCCGCAUACGAUCUAUGGAUGAAAGCGGGGGAUCGCAAUACCUCGCGCGAUUGGUGUGGCCGAUAUCAGAUUAGGUAGUUGGUGGGGUAAAGGCCCACCAAGCCAGCGAUCUGUAGCUGGUCUGAGAGGACGACCAGCCACACUGGAACUGAGACACGGUCCAGACUCCUACGGGAGGCAGCAGUGGGGAAUUUUGGACAAUGGGCGAAAGCCUGAUCCAGCCAUUCCGCGUGCAGGACGAAGGCCCUCGGGUUGUAAACUGCUUUUGUACAGAACGAAAAGGUUUCUACUAAUACUAGGAGCUCAUGACGGUACUGUAAGAAUAAGCACCGGCUAACUACGUGCCAGCCGCCGCCGUAA